CCUACGGGAGACAGCAGUGGGGAAUAUUGGGCAAUGGACGAAAGCCUGACCCAGCAACGCCGCGUGAAGGAUGAAGGUUUUCGGAUUGUAAAACUCUGUUGUGAGGGACGCAGAAUGACGGUAGUUAGUAAGCAUGCCCCGACUAACUACGACCACACAGCCGCGGUAAUAUGCAGGGGGCAAGCGUUGUCCGGACUUACUGGGCGUAAAGGGAGUGUAGGCGGGUGACCAAGUUCGAUGUGAACUCCCGCGGCGUAACCGCGGAGCUGCCUCGGAAACUGGUAAGCUUGAGUGCAGGAGAGGUGAGUGGAAUGCCAGGUGUAGCGGUGAAAUGCGUAGAUAUGAGGAGGAACACCAGUGGCGAAGGCGACUCACUGGACUGUAACUGACGCUGAGGCUCGAAAGCGUGGGGAGCAAACAGGAUUAGAUACCCCAGUAGUC
rnacentral:rRNA from 1 species